rnacentral:rRNA from 1 species
AUUGAACGCUGGCGGCAGGCCUAACACAUGCAAGUCGAGCGGCAGCACUUCGGGUGGCGAGCGGCGAACGGGUGAGUAAUGCAUGGGAAUCUGCCUGAUAGUGGGGGAUAACUCUGGGAAACUAGAGGUAAUACCGCAUACGUCCUACGGGAGAAAGCGGGGGAUCUUCGGACCUCGCGCUAUCAGAGGAGCCCAUGUCCGAUUAGCUAGUUGGUGAGGUAAAGGCUCACCAAGGCGACGAUCGGUAACUGGUCUGAGAGGAUGGUCAGUCACACUGGAACUGAGACACGGUCCAGACUCCUACGGGAGGCAGCAGUGGGGAAUAUUGGACAAUGGGCGCAAGCCUGAUCCAGCCAUGCCGCGUGGGUGAAGAAGGCCUUC